CAAAGGAAGUUGACGGGGCCGCACAAGCGUGGAUGAUGUGGUUUAAUUCGAUGCAACGCGAAAACCUUACCACCUUUGACAUGGCAGGAAUCCGAAGAGAUUUGGGAGUGCUCGAAAGAGAACCUGCACACAGGUGCUGCAUGGCUGUCGUCGGCUCGUGUCGUGAGAUGUUGGGUUAAGUCCCGCAACGAGCGCAACCCUUGCCAUUAGUUGCUACGAAGGGGCACUCUAAUGGGACUGCCGGUGACAAACCGGAGGAAGGUGGGGAUGACGUCAAGUCCUCAUGGCCCUUAUAGGUGGGGCUACACACGUCAUACAACGGCCGGUACAGAGGGUAGCCAACCCGCGAGGGGGAGCCAAUCCCACAAAGCCGGUCGUAGUCCGGAUCGCAGUCUGCAACUCGACUGCGUGAAGUCGGAAUCGCUAGUAAUCGCGGAUCAGCAUGUCGCGGUGAAUACGUUCCCGGGUCUU
rnacentral:rRNA from 1 species